GGUUAUUUAGUUUAUUAAAAAUACAGGUUUUGUAAUCCUGAGAUAAUAUUUUAUUAUUAACCU
rnacentral:tRNA from 1 species